rnacentral:rRNA from 1 species
GAUGAACGCUAGCGGGAGGCCUAACACAUGCAAGCCGAGCGGUAUUUGUUCUUCGGAACAGAGAGAGCGGCGCACGGGUGCGGAACACGUGUGCAACCUGCCUUUAUCUGGGGGAUAGCCUUUCGAAAGGAAGAUUAAUACCCCAUAAUAUAUUGAGUGGCAUCAUUUGAUAUUGAAAACUCCGGUGGAUAGAGAUGGGCACGCGCAAGAUUAGAUAGUUGGUGAGGUAACGGCUCACCAAGUCAAUGAUCUUUAGGGGGCCUGAGAAGGUGAUCCCCCACACUGGUACUGAGACACGGACCAGACUCCUACGGGAGGCAGCAGUGAGGAAUAUUGGACAAUGGGUUAGCGCCUGAUCCAGCCAUCCCGCGUGAAGGACGACGGCCCUAUGGGUUGUAAACUUCUUUUGUAUAGGGAUAAACCUACUCUCGUGAGAGUAGCUGAAGGUACUAUACGAAUAAGCACCGGCUAACUCCGUG